AUCCGUUACCUUGAAUUCGGAUCUAUAUAAAAGGCAAUACAUCAGAACAUUUUCUCUGUAAACCCUAAACUACAAACGCCGCUUUCAUUCUUUUCAUCUAUCUUUGUGUUUUCUCCUCUCCAUUGAUGCCGCUUCGAUUCUUUGAGCUGGAAGAGGAAGAGAUGUCAGUCCCACAUUUUGAGUUUGCUGCUGGUGAAGGAUCUCAACCAGUGGAAGUCCCUUUUCUGGUCAGAAAAUGCUAAUGCUGUUGAUGCACCAAUAGUUGAUGAUCCGCCAUCAGUAAGGUUCACUUGGAAAAUAGAGAAUUUCUCAAAAUUCAACCAGAGCUCCUUCGUCUCCCUAUCGUUCUCACCCAGAACCCUACCUGCACCGCAUCUUUUUUAGCAAAUCAACAAUGACAUCCAGCACGGAUUUUACAUCAAUAUCUGAAAACUAGGACAAAAUGCCCUAGCCACCCCUUCAGCUAUGACGGCUAGGGUUCCGGUCAUUAGUCAUCCGUUUUUCGCUUCAGAAUCCAUGGUGUUUAGACGAUUGAUACGCUUGCUAAGAAAGAAAAUGUACUCUUGAAGAAAGAUGAUGCUGAGGUACAAAGGGCAAAGGAGUUUACCAAGGCCAAAAAUAAAAGGGGUUUUACAUGAAGGUGAUGUUCUAUAUGUUUUCCCGUUUCCGAGAGUUAAUAUUCACACACCGCUCCUCUUGAUCUCUUUCUCUAUAUAUCUAUGUAUAUAUAGAGAGAGAUAGAGUGGAAAAGGGCGUGAAAAUAAGAUAUAUGUGUGGGAAUAGUGAGAGCCUUUCAUAGAAGAUUAUCCUUCAAAGCUUAUAACCAGUAUUGCAGCCAUGGAUGUUGUUGGUUCUAAUGAAACUCUGGUGAAAGUUGAGUUUUAGCGUAUGACAUGGCGAACAUGGAAGAAUCGGCGAGUGCGUGACUGACUCCUUUAUUUGCUUCCCUUCUCAAGUCCGGCAUUCGGGUUUUCUAUUCAGUUGCAGGUGAUAUAUUUCAUGCAGCACAAAACAUUGAUCAUUCCCAGGAUUUUAUAAGAAAAGUUAUAAAAGAGUGGCUGAACUGGCUCAAGAACAAUAUUGGUUAUGAUGUUGGCGCCUUGACUUUGUGAGCUUUUAGCAAUCCUUCCAUUGGAUGUUAUGCAUACAUUAGGUAAUCUUACGACCAACAUAGUAUCGGCUAAGUUUCUGUUUCAUUUACUGGUCAUAAAGAAGAUGAUGUGUAAAAUUAGAGGUUGCAAAAUGGGCAAGUUGGAUUGGGUUAGUUGUUGGGUCAGAAUGGGUUUUGGUCAUAAUGGGUUUGGGUCAGGAUAGGCUAGGCUGAUAAAAAACUGGGCCAGGAUGGAUAUGGGUUAGAAUGAGUUUAAGUCAAGAUAGGUCACAAUAUUCUUUACAUGUUUGUGAUAUAGCUCGAUGCAAUUUUAUUCUAGAUUAUGUAUUUGAAGGGAACUAAGGAACGCCUUUUGAAGGAUGGCCUCCCCACACCACUUAACUAGAAAAAAAAUUCCAUAUAUACCUUAGAAUUUGUGGUCACGGGUCAUCUGAAUUUUUUUUUUUUUUUUUGCUCAUUUAAUAUUUUAGGUGAAUAUUACUGUGGAUUGUUUUCAUACUCAUACUAUUUCCAUCCACUGUUUAAAUUAUGGGGUUAUCAGGUUGUUAUUAUGAUCUAAGACUAUUGAGUUUAAUUCUUAUACCACUGCAUAGAACGUAAGUUAUUAUAUAAUUUACUAUUAACUAUUGGUAUCCUCUGCUUAUGUAGCCAUAUAAAACAUUCCACUUCUGAUCGCCUCUUUAUUAGUACAUCUAUCAAAUUAUAAGAUUGUUGUUUUUUAUUGCAUGUGAUUCAGAGCAACUAAGAGAAAUACAUUGGGUCAAAUGAUUGUCCUUUACUUUUCAUUAACUCCUCCAAAGGUCGAUUAGUUAAUCACAAACUGAAUCCAUGGGAUUUGUAUGGUUUAAAUGCUUCACCCGGUCAGCAUCUUGGCUAUUAACAAUGAGGAUAUAGAUGAGUUAGUCUCUUAUUAUUUUUCUAAACCAGAUUUCUUUAAGGCUUAUUUAUGUUGGUUAGAUGAUCUAUGUUCAGCUUUAUAUAAGUUGCAACAGUUAGAAGGAUUUUGUUCUUGAUCUGUCACCCAAAGUUAUGAUUCCUAGCAUGGAGCAAAGAAUCCGUUUUCUAAAUGAGCAGGUUGUCAUAAUUUCUACUCAAAUUAGUUAUAUUUUAAUUUUGAAUUCGGACUCAUC